AUUGCCGGGUAGCCACGUUCGGAGAGGAUAACCGCUGAAAGCAUCUAAGCGGGAAGCCAACUCCAAGAUUAGAUUUCCCAAUAGAUAGGUUGGAGACUACAACCUUGAUAGGUCACAGGUGUACGCACAGUGAUGUGUUUAGCCGAGUGAUACUAAUAAAUCGAUUGGCUUUUACCU
rnacentral:rRNA from 1 species